AACACACACAAAAAGAAAGAAAGAGACGAAAUGAAAAUAAUAAACAUUAGCUCAUUCCUUUGUUAUUGCUUAUGUUGCUGGUGUUGUUUACCAAAAUUUCUCUCUCAUCAUUCCUUCUUUGUUACACUAUGUAUUUUUAUAUCAAACAAUGCAUUGACAACUUAUGCACAUAACGAACAA
rnacentral:ribozyme from 14 species